GUGCAAUGAGUAUUGCAGUAGGGCUGUCGGAUGGAGUUUCACGUACGUGUUAACAUUUUCCUCUGCCCGAGUUCAGACCCCACCGUCUCCUAAAUGUUGCAGGUUUGGCUGCUGUUAGUUCCUGAAGGAUUAGCCUGUUGGAAACCAUCAGCAAGGAAAUGCCUCUGCCCACUCUGCCUGCUGUGAGAACUUCUAUUGAAAGGUCUUCUUGGAAAUCAGAAGAUCUGGCAACACUGGACAUGCAUUCCAUCAUGGUAACUUCUGGAGCUGAGUUGUAGUUGCACCUGGCCUGUGCUCCAUAGUUCCUUGUGGCCUCCUAAGAGAAAGGCCUCAAUUAUGACCCAGGAAAUCAGUCUCUGGACUAAAUGGGAGUAAACAGCAGGUACCAAACAAACAAGACACAUCAUGCUUUUGCUUGGACUUCUUCGGAUCAGCGGUUUCUUCUUUCAGAGUUCU